UUAGAGUUGGUUCCUGGCUCAGGACGAACGCCGGCGCGGUCCCUAAUACAUGCAAGUCGAGCGGACCGACGGGAGCUAGUUCCUUUAGGUCAGCGGCGGAGGGGUGAGUAACACGUGGGUAACCUGCCUGUAAGACUGGGAUAACUCCGGGAAACCGGGGUUAAUACGGGAUGCUUGAUUGAACCGCAUGGUUCAAUCAUAAAAGGUGGCUUUUAGCUACCACUUACAGAUGGACCCGCGGCGCAUUAGCUAGUUGGUGAGGUAACGGCUCACCAAGGCGACGAUGCGUAGCCGACAUGAGAGGGUGAUCGGCCACACUGGGACUGAGACACGGCCCAGAAUCCUACGGGAGGCAGCAGUAGGGAAUCUUCCGCAAUGGACGAAAGUCUGACGGAGCAACGCCGCGUGAGUGAUGAAGGUUUUCGGAUCGUAAAACUCUGUUGUUAGGGAAGAACAAGUACCGUUCGAAUAGGGCGGUACCUUGACGGUACCUAACCAGAAAGCCACGGCUAACUACGUGCCAGCAGCCGCGGUAAUACGUAGGUGGCAAGCGUUGUCCGGAAUUAUUGGGCGUAAAGCGCGCGCAGGCGGUUUCUUAAGUCUGAUGUGAAAGCCCCCGGCUCAACCGGGGAGGGUCAUUGGAAACUGGGGAACUUGAGUGCAGAAGAGGAGAGUGGAAUUCCACGUGUAGCGGUGAAAUGCGUAGAGAUGUGGAGGAACACCAGUGGCGAAGGCGACUCUCUGGUCUGUAACUGACGCUGAGGCGCGAAAGCGUGGGGAGCGAACAGGAUUAGAUACCCUGGUAGUCCACGCCGUAAACCGAUGAGUGGCCUAAGUGUUAGACGGGUUUCCGCCCUUUAGUGCUGCAGCAAACUGCAUUAAGCACUCCCGCCUGGAG
rnacentral:rRNA from 1 species